rnacentral:rRNA from 1 species
CAGCAGCCGCGGUAAUGCGUAGGUGGCAAGCGUUGUCCGGAAUUAUUGGGCGUAAAGGGCUCGCAGGCGGUUUCUUAAGUCUGAUGUGAAAGCCCCCGGCUCAACCGGGGAGGGUCAUUGGUAACUGGGAAACUUGAGUGCAGAAGAGGAGAGUGGAACUCCACGUGUAGCGGUGAAAUGCGUAGAGAUGUGGAGGAACACCAGUGGCGAAGGCGACUCUCUGGUCUGUAACUGACGCUGAGGAGCGAAAGCGUGGGGAGCGAACAGGAUUAGAUACCCCCGUAGUCCCUGUCUCUUAUAC